UGGCUCAGGACGAACGCUGGCGGCGUGCCUAAUACAUGCAAGUCGAGCGGACCGACGGGAGCUUGCUCCCUUAGGUCAGCGGCGGACGGGUGAGUAACACGUGGGUAACCUGCCUGUAAGACUGGGAUAACUCCGGGAAACCGGGGCUAAUACCGGAUGCUUGAUUGAACCGCAUGGUUCAAUUAUAAAAGGUGGCUUUUAGCUACCACUUACAGAUGGACCCGCGGCGCAUUAGCUAGUUGGUGAGGUAACGGCUCACCAAGGCAACGAUGCGUAGCCGACCUGAGAGGGUGAUCGGCCACACUGGGACUGAGACACGGCCCAGACUCCUACGGGAGGCAGCAGUAGGGAAUCUUCCGCAAUGGACGAAAGUCUGACGGAGCAACGCCGCGUGAGUGAUGAAGGUUUUCGGAUCGUAAAACUCUGUUGUUAGGGAAGAACAAGUACCGUUCGAAUAGGGCGGUACCUUGACGGUACCUAACCAGAAAGCCACGGCUAACUACGUGCCAGCAGCCGCGGUAAUACGUAGGUGGCAAGCGUUGUCCGGAAUUAUUGGGCGUAAAGCGCGCGCAGGCGGCUUCUUAAGUCUGAUGUGAAAGCCCCCGGCUCAACCGGGGAGGGU
rnacentral:rRNA from 1 species